CCUACGGGUGGCUGCAGUAGGGAAUAUUGGACAAUGGGCGCAAGCCUGAUCCAGCCAUGCCGCGUGAGUGAAGAAGGCCCUCGGGUUGUAAAGCUCUUUUGUCCGGAAAGAAAAGCACUCGGUUAAUACCCGGUUGUUCUGACGGUACCGGAAGAAUAAGCACCGGCUAACUUCGUGCCAGCCGCCGCGGUAAUACGACGGGUGCAAGCGUUGCUCGGAGCGUCUGGACGUAAAUCGUGCGGUGGGAGGUGAAAGCCCUGGGCUCAACCUGGGAAUGGCAUUGGAUACUGGCGGGCUAGAGUGCGGUAGAGGGUAGUGGAAUUCCCGGUGUAGCAGUGAAAUGCGUAGAGAUCGGGAGGAACAUCUGUGGCGAAGGCGACUGCCUGGACCAGCACUGACACUGAGGCACGAAAGCGUGGGGAGCAAACAGGAUUAGAUACCCCUGUAGUC
rnacentral:rRNA from 1 species